UCCCCUAGUAACGGCGAGUGAAGCGGGAACAGCUCAACUUUGUAAUCUGCGGUGCUUGCAUCGUCAGAAUUGUAGUUAAGAGAAGUGCUUUCCCCGGGACGCCUGCCGGCCUAAGUUGCUUGGAACAGCACGUCAUAGAGGGUGAGAACCCCGUCUGUGGCUCGGCGGACGCCCGGUAUGAUGCACUUUCGAAGAGUCGGGUUGUUUGGGAAUGCAGCCCUAACUGGGUGGUAAACUCCAUCUAAAGCUAAAUAUUGCCACGAGACCGAUAGCAAACAAGUACCGUGAGGGAAAGAUGAAAAGCACUUUGAAAAGAGAGUUAAAAGCACGUGAAGCCGUUGAAAGGGAAACGCGCUCGGCUAGCAAUGUGCCAUCACGGUUCAGCCGUUUUGGGCGGCGGGGCGGUGGUCGUCGGAUCCGAAUGGACCGCGGCUGCUGUCGCCGUCGUCCGAGACGCGGUGCACUCUUUGGUGGUACGCGUCAGCGUCGGUUGGUCGUGGGCGACAAGGCCUGGCGGAAGGUGGCUCCCUCCGGGGAGUGUUACAGCCGUCGGUGCUGGGUCCAUGGGCGACCGAGGAGAGAGAGUAUCGUUGCAGCGCAUGCCGCAAGGCUAGCUGCCCGCCGUCCGGUCGGUUCCAUCGGUGGAGGACUGCACGCAGUGCUCUGUUGAGCGGGGCUGCCUGGCGGUGGAGCGGUAUAAAUGCGCUUAGGACGCUGGCGUCCAAAUGGCCGUGCGCGACCCGUCUUGAAACACGGACCAAGGAGUCUAACAUGUGCGCGAGUCUUUGGGUGGUGAAACCCGCGGGCGCAAUGAAAGUGAAG
rnacentral:rRNA from 1 species